GCCAGAAACCGCACGGCACUGCCAAGCUGCUCACAAUGAGCUCCACAGACCCCACUCUCCAGCGGUACCUUGGUCAGUGCUACGAAAACCUGAAAGCCUUUGCAACAGGGCAGUCUGGUUAGCUUACAGACUGCUUUUUCUGUGACCUCCAGUGCUAUUUCAGUAACAUGUUUUCUACUCAACGUGCUCAAAAGCUUUUUCUCUCUGAACGCCCAGCCUGCGCGUUGAUGCUGAGAGGGGACUGUAAGAAGGCAGAGUGCUGCAGAAGACUGCUGACUUACAGGCAUGGCCAACCCUCUGCCCGUGGGCUGCGUUUGAGAGCAGGUUUCAAGAUAGCUGAAAAAAGUGCUCAACAAGGUGAAGUGGAAGGUGUACACAUGUCAGAUGGCUCCCAGAAGUCUCCCACACUGCUAUAUGAAUUCUUACACUCAGAAGCAACAUCUGAGGAAAUGAGCUUGGGAAACCUGAGAAAGGAAUGAAGGAGUCAUUAGUUUUGCCCAUCUGGCAGCAGAACAGCUGGUCCUGCUGAGUCUGGAGAUUCCUUCCUGAUGUCUCUCCUGCUCAGUGUUACGCAGCUCAGCAGAAUCUUGAGGGUCUGUAUGGGAACUGUUGAAUCAUGGCCUGAACCUCUGAUUGACCACCUGAGGCAAGUACUGAG
ensembl:lncRNA